AUGCUAAUCCUAGGAAGAUGAGACAACUGCUGCAGAGCCAACCCAGACAACCACCAACAGGGUGAAGCAGAGCUACCUCCAAUUCUGCAGCCUGUGAAGAGUUCAACUCCAGUGAAGCCCAGCCUCAAUCAGCCAGUGCCCUGUGAUUAUGAAAAUAAGUGAUUUUUGUCUUAGCCACAGCAUUUUGGGUUGGAUUAAUGGGUACACUUACUGUGGCAAAGUUAACUGCUACAAAUGUUGAAAAUUAGAUAGCAGAAGAACAAAGUAUAGAUGAUUAAUACAUUCCAAGAUCGCCAGAGUUAGUAAGCAGCAGAAGUGGGAUUUAAGCUUAGGUCUGUCUGACCACAGACCCUAGGCUCCUAAACACUAUCUGUACUAAUUAUAAUAAAUCUUGGAUUCCAGUUUCAGAUAGGAGAGCACAAUCAGAAGUUCAUGAUCGUUUGAGAUUCAUCAUUUAGGUCCCAUCUUUUUUUUUUUUAUGGAAUUGCUGUCAGAGUGACUCUUCUUUUCUUAAGGAAUGAGAUAUCACCAGGAGAACCCAGCUCCCACUGAGAAGAAAUAAACACAGAUCCCAGCAGCUGCCUGAGUAAGUCCGUGCCAUCCAUCGUCCCCCAAGCUGCUCAGAGACAGUGAUGCAGUGUUUCAAGCUGCCUCUGAAAUAAGCGAGCAGCUGGGCUGGAGCAUGAAGCUGGUGAUUUAAGGUGGUGUCUCUGCCACUCCAUGCUGCCACUAUGCCCUCAGAGGAAUCCACGUAAGUGGGGAGUAGAUGAGCUCUCCAGGGAGUUGGUCAGGCCAGUGGUGCUGAAGCACAGGGAAAUUUAUGGCAGUGUUUCCAAAUGGCUGCCAGCAGACCAGUGAGGCUUCAAAAGCCUGGAGAGCCUCUUCCCUUGCUUCACUCCAUUCCCACUGCCACCACCUAGCUGUAAUUCCCAGAAUCUCAGGCCUGGAUGAUAGCAACAAAAGUCCUGUCACUUAGGCUUCAACUCCUCAUUUUUUAUCCCAUUGGGAUGCAAUGACUCAUACCUCUUUGACCCCUUUGUAUCAUACAUCCUAAUAAAAUAGUCAUAGGGGAAAAAGUACAACAAGUACAAGAUUAAAUAUCAGAGCCCUAUAUUUGGAUCCCAAAUAAUAUUAGAUAUCAUUGCAUAAUUGGGAUUAGUAUA
rnacentral:lncRNA from 1 species